UACGUAGGGUGCAAGCGUUGUCCGGAAUUAUUGGGCGUAAAGAGCUCGUAGGCGGUUUGUCGCGUCGGAUGUGAAAAUCCAGGGCUCAACCCUGGACCUGCAUUCGAUACGGGCAGACUAGAGUUCGGUAGGGGAGACUGGAAUUCCUGGUGUAGCGGUGAAAUGCGCAGAUAUCAGGAGGAACACCGGUGGCGAAGGCGGGUCUCUGGGCCGAAACUGACGCUGAGGAGCGAAAGCGUGGGGAGCGAACAGG
rnacentral:rRNA from 1 species